rnacentral:rRNA from 1 species
GACGAAGGUGGCGAGCGUUGUUCGGAAUCACUGGGCAUAAAGCGCACGUAGGCGGCGGCGUAAGUUGGAUGUGAAAUCCCCCGGCCCAACCGGGGAACUGCGUCCAGUACUGCGUUGCUUGAGGAUCCAAGGGGUGCAUGGAAUUCCCGGUGGAGCGGUGAAAUGCGUUGAUAUCGGGAGGAACACCUGUGGCGAAAGCGGCUCACUGGACCACUACUGACGCUGAUGCGCGAAAGCUAGGGGAGCAAACAGG